ACCCCUGCCUUCAAAUUGACAAAUGACGUACAUUCAAUAAAAGUCAUUUUACUUGUUAACGGAAAUUCGUCAGAUGGUGGGUUUCAUAUAUUUGGGUAUUUGUAGACUUUGCUACAAAACUGUAUAAAUUAAAUUACCAAGAGAUGCAAAAUAGCAACGAAGGUAAAUUAUUUGCAAUCAAUUUGGACCCUUAUAUGCCACCGGUCUCUUCAGAAAGAAAUGAUCAAAAUCAGCCAGGAUCAAAGCUCGAGGUAGCCAUCCCGGAAGCAGGUUUACGCAUCACGGAAGAAUCUCAUUUGCCUCCUAGAAACAUCGUCGAAUACGUCAACACAAUUCACGAACAAGCCAUUAUUGCCACUACCAACGAGCGGAAUGAUAUCGUAGUGAAUAUUCCGAUCGAGACCACCAGAUUAGAUGGAGCGACGGCCAAUAUCAUGACGGAACCUUCCACACAGGCAGGUUUUAGAAACAUCACCCAUUCCGUGACUUGUACCAUUUCCAUCCGCUCAGUGGGGUCCGUCUGCUGCAGGAUCUGCCAUAACACAGACGGAAAUGACAGAUUAAUAUCUCCAUGCUUGUGCAAGGGGACCCUGGCGCACGUUCACCAGUCCUGUCUCGAACACUGGCUCAGUACAUCAGGCAUGGUACACUGCGAACUCUGCCAGUAUCGCUUUCCAACGGAGGAGACGCUAAGGUACACAUUUUGCCAAUCGAUCCGGAUAUGGUACAGGCACCCAAAUAACCGAGGACUUCUGCAGGCCGAUUGUCUCGUUUGCACCCUACUCACUGUGGUCACUUUUGGCCUUGUCGCCAUCUGCAUGCUGGGCCUGCAAUAUUUCAACUUGCAAAGCUACCGCUUGGGGGUGUCGCGGCUUUGGACGCAAGGGUCGAUAAUUGUGUUUCUCGUGAUUGUGAUAACAUUUCUUGUACCACGAGUCAUGUUGAUGCAUAUCUAUGUAGCCAACUUUCCGUCUAUUAUAAUCGAGAAAAAUGGUGGAAUCGACCAAGACUAGCCCACCCCGUUCCGGAAUGAAGAAGAAGAAAAUUGCAGAAUAAAGUCGUGGUCAUAAUAAAACUGGACAACCAGGCAUUGAUUGGAUUGGCCCAGAGUUAUUCCUUUUUGUACUACCUCUAUUCGAAUACUUUUGUCUGGGCUGUGUCCGCUAUACUAUGUUGUGUAUACGCUACGGGGUGGUAACGACUGGAGUUAAAAGUCGCGUCGAAUUAUAUGCGGCUAAUAAUUUCAACCGAAAAAACGAAAUAUUAAGGCAAACUUCAUAGAUGGAGUAGAAAAAAUACAAAUCGUGGUUUUAAAAGAAACUGGACUUUCAAAUCAUGAAAUUAGUCGCCAAAUUAUUAGACCGGAAUACGUGAUACAAAUUCUUUUCAAUUUAGCACCAAAUUCGGUAUUUCCGCAUCAAA